AUAGAUUAGGCACAAAUGCGGAAAACCCCCUGCAGUUCAUACAGUUCGGAUUCUGCCAAAGUGUACCGGUACACGGAAAAGUGUACCGGUACACAUCCUACGAAAAUGCGAACCCGAGGCUCGGGUUCGAAAUUUGCCACAAGUGUACCGGUACAACCAUCAAGCGCGUACCGGUACAAAAUGUGUACCGGUACGACCAUCAAGGGUGUACCGGUACAUCUUGUGCAGAAUGCAAUCCGAGGGUAGGCUAAGUCCAACUUUUUGGUGACCUUAGCGCUACAUAAAAUACUACAAUUCUCGGAAUACGUGCCAUAGGUCGGAACACUGCCAACGACCCACCAGAAAGUCUGGAAAGACUCGGGACACUGUCCAAACACUCGAACCCCGCAAUUUGCAAAGGUCCAGUGCGUCACAACCCUAGUGAUAGUGCUUCCUCACUUAGAGAGGAUUCGAUUGGGUAUUGACUCCAGUUGUAGAGCAUCCUCACUUGGAGAGGACUUGAUUGAGUUGUUGACCCUAGAUGUAGGGCAUCCUCACUUGGAGAGGAUAGAUCUAGCUCACAGUCUGCGUUUGGGAUGGUAUAGCCAUCCAAUCCUCACAUGGAGGGGAUUGUCGUUGAGUACUCCGGAGUGUCGCGCGACUAGGACCACUUGGAGGUCCGGACCAUAUGGAGGUCCGCAGACGGUCCCGGGCUUGGGUGCACUUGGAGCUCCCUCCCCAUUUUGGGAUUGAAAGGUGAGUCAUGGGCGAGCCCUAGGGCCUCGCCACAGAUUGGGUAAAUG
rnacentral:lncRNA from 1 species